GUCCUAGCCGUAAACGAUGAGCACUAGGUGUCGGUUCGAAUAGGGCCGGUGCCGUAAGAUAACUCGUUAAGUGCUCCACCUGAGGACUACGGCCGCAAGGUUAAAACUCAAAGGAAUUGACGGGGGUCCGCACAAGCGGUGGAACAUGUGGUUCAAUUCGACGAUACGCGAAGAACCUCACCAAGGCUUGACAUACAGGUAGUAGCAAAACCGAAAGGGGCGCUAACCGUAAAGCCGGUUGCCUGCACAGGUGUUGCAUGGCUGUCGU
rnacentral:rRNA from 1 species